rnacentral:rRNA from 1 species
AUACGAAGGGGGCGAGCGUUGUUCGGAAUCACUGGGCUUAAAGCGUACGUAGGCGGUUAUGAAAGUCAGAAGUGGAAGCCCAGGGCUCAACCUUGGAACUGCUUUUGAAACUCCAUAACUAGAGUCCCGGAGAGGUUGGCGGAAUUCCGAGUGUAGAGGUGAAAUUCGCAGAUAUUCGGAGGAACACCAGUGGCGUAGGCGGCCAACUGGACGGGAACUGACGCUGAGGUACGAAAGCGUGGGGAGCAAACAGGAUUAGAAACCCUAGUAGUCC